AGUGCAAUCUCCGGCUGCCUGGACUGGCGCUCCGAUUCUUCUGUGCUGAAUCUCAGGGGACGCCAACAUGCAUACACGUCCCUUCGAUAGCUCAGCUGGUAGAGCGGAGGACUGUAGCUACUUCCUCAGCAGGAGACAUCCUUAGGUCGCUGGUUCGAUUCCGGCUCGAAGGAGACAAGUGCGGUUUUUAUUCCAGCUCCCGAUGACUUAUGCCCCUUUCCUUGGGUGCCUUCAAUGACACAUUGCAUUCCAACAAGCAGUUGGAAACUCUAGCGCGUUCUCCCCAUUUUGGGCCUCCCAGCCUGCGCGGGACUCAUCUGAGGCUAAGCUGCCCAUCGUUCGGGGAGACCCUCAGGGAAAACAAAGCAAGAAACAGAGAACUUGGAAACGGACACUGAUUACUUUGAACGUUUGCUCAGCCGAGGAAGCAGGAACUGUUCGGCCCCGGGCGGACUGCCUGGCUCCGGACAGAGGACAGAUCCGAGGUGGAUGGAUAAGGCAAAAGGUAGCCCUGCGAAGGUGGAUACCUUUAUGGUGAAGAUUUGAAUUUAGCUUUUAAAUUGUAAUUUUUCAAAGACCACAACCCCAGCUGACAAAGAUGAAAUACCUAACAUUA